rnacentral:lncRNA from 1 species
GUGGGGAGGUGGACUUGAGGGUGGGGUCUGGGUCUAGAAGAUGUGUCCCAAGGGGGUAGGACCCUUUGAUCGUCUCAGACUGUAAAGCAGUGUCUCAGGUCUGUGGGAUCUAGGAACACCAGAGGUAGCAGAAGUCAAACCCCCACACCCCCCACCGACAAAGCCCAUCUUAGAAUGUAGCGUAUGCACUGUCUCCUUGGACACCUCUCUCUAAGCAUUUUCUGCAAACCUUCUAGAACACAAACAACAUGGGCUUCCCACUGAAAGCUUUAGGGCUACAGCACUGCCAAUCCCAAGCUCUGUGGCUCUGAGAGUGCAGUCAAUCUUCACUUCUUAAAGAUGGCUAUGAGGACAGACUCCCCCGUCCUAGGUUAAGCCUGGGGUCUGCUCUGGGAGCUCUGGAUAGACCAGUGACAGGAGGAUUACUACUGGAUUCCUGACCUCAAGGAAUUGUUCCAUCUCACAAAGGCACGGGCUACCUCUGAGAGAGCACCUAAAUACACGACCAGCCCAGAAUGAUAAGCUGCAGCUGAGACAGGUGCAUUUGGGUGCUGCAGAAACAUGCCCACCCCCGGGAGCUCUUCAAACUCUUCAGCCAUCUCAAAGAUGGCUGAGCAAUGUUCCUGAUACUUGGUCGAGACUCGGAAUGGCAGGAAAGACUGGAAAACUGUCUCAAGUACAGGCGGUGAGAUGCCAAUGGAGACAGCAUUCCAUCAUGAGUUCACACAGGAGGAAGGAGAAAGGAGACCCCACUAUUCAACAUGGUGUCUGUUGGGGGAAGAACAGGGAAGAUGCUACAUCUUAGCAGUUGGCCUCCGACUCCAUUUGCAAUAGGGCCCAGGCUGGUAGAAAUUCAACAGGGUUCUGAAUGAGAGCAGUAAACUGCUCUAGCACAUCGGAAGCCCCUCACAUGCACAGUGAGCACUCAGCGCAUCGCUGCCAGCACCUGACUACAGAGCACAUUCAGGAGCACUGGGCACUUGGCCAGUGCUGAUGUGCUGCACACAGAGAUGGGAGUAACAGGGACAUUAGGGCCACGAAGUAACAGGACAACAGCCUGUGACCACGUAUGAUGCUAAUCCUCUGUCAGCCUGCCUGGAUUUGGAGUCACGCAGGAGACAUAGGCCUGGGUGAGUGUGUGAGGGCAUUUCCAAGGAGAAAUCCUGCUGCAAAGAAGAGCCGGACUGAGUGCAGGCAACGUCAUCCUACGGGUAGACACUCUACACAGAAUACAAAGGAGAAGAGGAAGAGGAGAGCUGAGGGCCAGCCUCUGUCUCUGCUUGCUGACUGUGGAUACGAUGUGACUGGCUGACCCGCACUCCUGCCAUGAUGGACCUCAUCCUGGGACUAUGACCAAACUCAGCAACCCUUCCUUUCCCUUAGGUUCCUCUGUGGGCGUUCCGUCACAGUCAUAAUAAAAGUAACUAAUACCCUG